UUUGCUUUUUGUUUUUAUUUUUCAAUGUGAGAAUUGAACAAGAGCAGCGUGGCCCCUUACCUCCAAAAGCAAGAUGGCUGCGGCAUGUGCUUGAUUCAGGAUUUUGGUCGCAAAUGCUCUGUUACGUUUCUCGUGUGGUAACCAAGCGAACACCAAAGAUUAUGUAUUGUUUGCAUGCCGCAAGUUAUUAAAGGUGCAGACAGUCAGUAUACAUUCAACAAUGCAAAGGCUAAAAGCUAACAUCAUUGAAAAGAUUGCCGAGGAAAAAGACCCGAUUCUUACAUGGCUGCACCCUAAAGUUACUGUCAAGAACAUCGAAGGGAUGAAGGUUCCAGGCAUUGCGCUACUGUCAACUGCUGUCGACAGUUUUGUCGAUAUUUCACAUACAGAAUUUUAAAGAAUUGCAAAGUACGCUUGUACGGGAGCUGGGGACAAUAGGGAUAUACUUCGGCAAAGACAGGGAAU